rnacentral:rRNA from 1 species
GAAACUAACAAGGAUUCCCCUAGUAGCGGCGAGCGAAGCGGGAAGAGCUCAAAUUUAUAAUCUGGCACCUUCGGUGUCCGAGUUGUAAUCUCUAGAAGUGUUUUCCGCGUUGGACCGCACACAAGUCUGUUGGAAUACAGCGGCAUAGUGGUGAAACCCCCGUAUAUGGUGCGGACGCCCAGCGCUUUGUGAUACACUUUCAAUGAGUCGAGUUGUUUGGGAAUGCAGCUCAAAUUGGGUGGUAAAUUCCAUCUAAAGCUAAAUAUUGGCGAGAGACCGAUAGCGAACAAGUACCGUGAGGGAAAGAUGAAAAGCACUUUGGAAAGAGAGUUAACAGUACGUGAAAUUGUUGGAAGGGAAACGCUUGAAGUCAGACUUGCUUGCCGGAGCUUGCUUCGGUUUGCAGGCCAGCAUCAGUUUUCCGGGGUGGAUAAUGACGGUUUGAAGGUAGCAGUCUCGGCUGUGUUAUAGCUUUCCGUUGGAUACAUCCUGGGGGACUGAGGAACGCAGCGUGCUUUUUGCGAAAGACUCGUCUUUU